rnacentral:rRNA from 1 species
UACGGAGGGUGCAAGCGUUAAUCGGAAUUACUGGGCGUAAGGCGCGCGUAGGCGGCUAAGUAAGCUAGAUGUGAAAUCCCUGGGCUCAACCUGGGAACUGCAUUUAGAACUGCUUGGCUAGAGUGCAGAAGAGGAGUGUGGAAUUGCCGGUGUAGUGGUGAAAUGCGUAGAGAUCGGCAGGAACACCCAGGGGGAAACCAGCCGACUGGGCAAGUGCUGACGCUGAGGUGCGAGAGCGUGGGGAGCGAACCGG